rnacentral:rRNA from 1 species
AGAGUGAACGCUGGCGGCAGGCCUAAUACAUGCAAGUCGAACGGCAGCACGGCAGAGCUUGCUCUGUGGGUGGCGAGUGGCGGACGGGUGAGGAAUACAUGGGAAUCUGCCCAGUCGUGGGGGAUAACGUAGGGAAACUUACGCUAAUACCGCAUGCGCCCUUCGGGGGAAAGCCGGGGACCUUCGGGCCUGGCGCGAUUGGAUGAGCCCAUGUCGGAUUAGCUAGUUGGCGGGGUAACGCCCACCAAGGCGACGAUCCGUAGCUGGUCUGAGAGGAUGAUCAGCCACACUGGAACUGAGACACGGUCCAGACUCCUACGGGAGCAGCAGUAGGGAAUAUUGGACAAUGGGCGCAAAGCCUGAUCCAGCCAUGCCGCGUGAGUGAAGAAGGCCUUGGUAGUAAGCUCGUUUGACCGAAAGAAAGCUUACGGUACAAGUACCCCGAGUCC